CCUGCACUUUCAUUCAUUACGCGUGAUACUUGUUUGAGCGUGCAUCACCAUCACCACCAGGCGGAUUCAUUCCAUCACUCCAAAGACAAAUAGCGAGGCUUUUACAAUUGACUUGUCCACGCAUGCUCACAAGCAGUCUUUUUCCACACGCUGAUCAACAGUUUGCCAGUUUUAAAGCGUCUUCUUCACUCCACUCUCACUGUGUGUGUGGUCAGAGCUCACAACGCGUCGUUGUCUAGGGCAUGAAUGAGGCUGGAGGGUCAUGCAUUAACACACAACCAACAGGGAGAUAUGCUGCGCUGCCUCUACUCCUAGAAAUCGAGUAGCUCGGUGUAUUGCACAAAUCCGACGCUGGCAUUGCAGUUUAAUUUGUAAACGAACAAAGGUGUUCUUUAAGUUCCGUUUUAUAUUAUAGCCACCAGUUGAUUCGUCUCUUUGUGCAUAGAACAAAAUGGGGUGUUCCUCUUCCAGCUCUCAGACCGUAGACCAAGAAAAAAGACCAGGCACCAAACCCGAAGAAAGUAAUGGAGACACAACUUUCGCUACCCGUAAUGGAAUCAUUGCAGAGGACACAGAGACCAUUGCGGAUCAGAUGCAGCUGCCAGUUCAAAGCGCACUACCGGAUGAGCUGCAGCCUGGGGCCAUGGAGGAGCCGGUGUCCCAGGCCUAUGAAGCCACAGAGCUUAUGGUGGUGGAGGAGGCAGCCCCUGCUGCUCCCGCAGAACCAGAGCCCGUGACUGAGCCUGAGCCUCCUGUCGAACCCGCCGCCAUUGAAAGCCCUGAUACUGGGGCUGUGGCUGCUGAGACUGUAGAGGCUGAGGUGGCUGUGGAGGCUGUGGAGGCAGCUGCUCCUGCUGAGGCUCAGGCUGCCGUUGAGAUAACUGAGGUAGCGGAGGCAGCGGCUCCAGUAGAAGCUGCAGCCCCUGUAGAGGAUGUAGCACCUGUAGAAACGGUGCCAGCUGAGGAAGCUGCCAUAGCAGUGGCAGAAAUCGUAGCCCCUGUUGCGGAGGCUGCCCCUGUUGCUGAGGCUGCCCCUGUCGCUGAAGCUGCCCCUGUCGCUGAGGCUGCCCCUGUCGCUGAGGCUGCCCCUGUCGUUGAGGCUGCCCCUGUCGUUGAGGCUGCCCCUGUCGUUGAGGCUGCCCCUGUCGUUGAGGCUGCCCCUGUCGUUGAGGCUGCCCCUGUCGUUGAGGCUGCCCCUGUCGCUGAGGCUGCCCCUGUUGUUGAGGCUGCCCCUGUCGUUGAGGCUGCCCCUGUCGCUGAGGCUGCCCCUGCUGAAGCUGCCCCUGCUGAAGCUGCUGCUCCUACUGAAACAGUGGCCGCUCCCGCUGCUCCAGAAGAACCCGCGGCCCCUGUCGAAGUAGCAGCACCUGCAGAACCUGUGGCUGCACCCACUCCAGUUGCUGCGGAGGAGACCAAAGAACCAGCCCCAGAACCGGUUGCUGCAUCUGAGGAGGCCCCUGCGGCAGCCCCUGUAGCUGAAGCCAGUGUCCCAGAGCCAGUCAAAGUAGAGGAGACCCCAGUGGCCGCCCCCGUGGAGUCCGUCACACCUGCAGCCGCCCCAGCUGCAGCCCCUGAGGGGGGCGUGGUGGAGCCUGUGGUCUCGCAAGAGACAGGAAGUGAGGUGGCCAAAGUGGACGAGCCAGCAGAAAUCCCCAAGACUGAAGAGACCCCUGCUGCCAGUGCAGAGAAGUAGAGGAGACUACAGUAAACAUGGUUGACGUGUCGCCCAAAGAAUAAAUGAAUACGUUUACACA
rnacentral:lncRNA from 1 species